UAUAUAACUAGAUAAAUAACAUACAUAUAUAGAUAUUAACAGAAAAAAAUAAAUAAAGAUAUACAUAUAUUAAUACAUACUAAUAAUUAUUAAAUACAUAAAUACAUAAAAUACAAAAGAAAAAAAAUAAAAUAAAAAUAAAAAUACACACUAGAAAAAUAAAUUGGGCUUACCCAUUUGGACCAGGCCUAAUUGAUCCAGGCCUGGACCAAAUUGGAUGUCUACAGCUGCCUC
rnacentral:lncRNA from 1 species